AUUUCCCAGAGCAAGCAGAUGCAAUACGUAGCAAUUAAAAGUGAUACUGCUCUGAGGAUAGACAAGAAAGCACAUGUCCCUCCCCAGUUAGACUCUGCUUUCUUUUGGGGCCUACAAGUUGAGCUGACAGU
ensembl:snoRNA